rnacentral:rRNA from 1 species
ACUCAAAGGAAUAGACGGGGGCCCGCACAAGCGGCGGAGCAUGCGGCUUAAUUCGAUGCAACGCGAAGAACCUUACCUAGGCUUGACAUAUACGUGAAGCAGGCAGAGAUGUCUGUGCCUUCGGGCUCGUAUACAGGUGGUGCAUGGCUGUCGUCAGCUCGUGUCGUGAGAUGUUGGGUUAAGUCCCGCAACGAGCGCAACCCUCGUCCUAUGUUGCCAGCGGGUAAUGCCGGGGACUCAUAGGAGACUGCCGGGGUCAACUCGGAGGAAGGUGGGGACGACGUCAAGUCAUCAUGCCCCUUACGUCUAGGGCUGCACGCAUGCUACAAUGGCCGGUACAAAGGGCUGCAAUUCCGCAAGGUUGAGCGAAUCCCAAAAAGCCGGUCUCAGUUCGGAUUGGGGUCUGCAACUCGACCCCAUGAAGUCGGAGUCGCUAGUAAUCGCAGAUCAGCAACGCUGCGGUGAAUACGUUCCCGGGCCUUGUACACACCGCCCGU